AUGACUUGAAAUCUCUAUAAAUAACCGGGGGAUUUGCUUUGUCAUGCAGGUAUUCUAUACCUUUAGCUGCACCGGCCGCCAUCAUCAUUCGGGUAUUCCAAUCUAGCGGCUCCUUAUCCAGUGGAAGCUGUGUACCGAUAGCAUAAUGCUAAUAUCAGUUGCCUAAUACAAACAGCUAAUUUUCACAUAAUUCAGCCAGAAUGUGAACACGUGUAAAUAAUUGAAAUCAUAGUAUCAAAUUCUUGAUCUUGUUGGUAUCUGGCAAGAAAAGCUCAAUUUCGCACUUUCAGUCUAGGCCACUUCAAGGCAGAGUUCUAGGGAAGUGCAAAUAAAUAUGUGCUAAAUUACCUAGAUUAAAUUAUAGAAGGAAGGACCUCUUAUUAAGGAUAAUUGAUUUUACCACGAAGACGAUAUUCCAAUGAUCCCAAGGGCAUCAAUUCAUAAACAAGAAGCUGUUGAACACCAUCAGCACAGCAACCAAUCAGAUUUAUGAGAUUAGGGUGAUCCAGAAGGCUCAGCAUCAGAACCUCCACCAGAAAUUCAUGGUUACCUUGUGAACCAUUUCAAUCUUGUUGUUUAACUGCAGCAGCUUACAAAUGACUGAGGUCAACGUAAUAACUACAUAUAACAGCAAUAUUCAAGAGAAUCAAGAGUAGCUACCAAAGAAAUUAGAAUUUAAUAGAGCAGAACUGCAGCCAGCCUAACUAUAGUAUGACUAAUAGUAUCUGAAUCUUGAAUUUGGUUGAUGACUUAACCUGGGCAUAAUGUCUAUAUAAAAUGUCAAUAUGACGAUUUCAAAAUUAUUAUUCUAAGACAGAUACAAUAAAGUCGAAGCUCUUCAGAUGUCAUUAAAACCAACCAUGUCAAACUCAUUCGAAAAACUACUCCAGGUGUUUCAAAUUAAUAGAUCUGCUGCACCAACUUGGACUCUUCUGCUCAGACAGAAAAAGUCUAAGGAUUGAUUGCACUGUUCACAGUUUGUUAAAAACACAGCCUUUCAGCGAAAGCAAAAGAAAGGGACUAAACAAAUGUUCCACUAAACUGGAGGCAACUACACAUAAAGUGUUAGCUUCACUUGUAGAGGGAUGGAAAUAUUUUUAAAAGAUACACUGUUCAAGUGAUUUUUCGACCCAAAAAAAAAAAACUGAUUCAAACAUGAAACGCAGUCUUUUCUAUGAAUUCAUUCCUUCUCUCCAUGUUAGCUGAUCCAGAAAAGGCCCUUAGGAGAUUGUAACAUAUAGCUAACUUUAGCUUUCAGACUUCAGGUCAAACAGUUGGUUCAUUGACCAAAAACUAAAGACUGGAAAGGGAGAACUAGCUGAUGCUGAUUUUUAUUAAAAACACAGCCAUCAGAUGCCACAUACACGAUGCAUACAGAAAAGAGCACAUUAUCCACCUGUCGAGUGCUCUCGAGUCUUCCCUUUAUAUACACCCAGAUCAUCCUUUACCUAAGAAACACUGCGGCUAGAAGUUCUUCAUAGCAGCGUCGAGUUCGUGGAAGAUAAAGGUUUGAGCAGCAAAAUGUGCACCCGGUCCAUCCUUCGGGCCAAUUAGAUCCCUUUUCAACCCCACAAUGCUUCUGUAAUUUGUGGCUCCUAAUAUUUCACCAACAAAUGAAUGCAGAGUAUUUCUGCUCCCGCAAUACUUCACCACCAAAUGAAUGCGGAUCAUUUUAAAUCAAGCAUUAGGAAAUAUUUCUAUUGGGAAAACAAUUGGGGGUAACCCUUUUUCAACGCAAUCCAAGUUCCUGUUUUGGGGAGAUUUGCCUCCGAAAGUGAGGUUUUUCAUUCCAAUUCAUUGCAUCUGUCUUAUGAUCCCCCAAGGAACCGUUAAGAAAAAAGAUGUUAUCUGAAUUUGGGAAACAGUAACAGUAACAGUGAAUUAGUAAUUUUCUCCUCAUGUAAUAGUAUUUAUGGUUUGAAGCUGGGGAUGGUGGCAUGCUCUUAAGUAACGUGCCUAGAUUCCACAAAAAAAUGUACCGAAUUCAUCUCAAAUGCAUUCACAAAGGAAGAGACAAUGAAAUUAUCAAUGUAAAGCAACUUCUGAUUACAUCUCGACAUAUGAUAUCUAGAGUUUUGUUUCUUUAGAUAAGGUGAUCGAAGCCCAGUGGGGAUCAAUCUCCUUUGAUUGUUGUAUAAGGCUCAAUAAGAGCCGUUUAUGUUCGGCCAGAUGAAUGACGAUGGCCCUCGACUGCCAUUCUAGGUUUGCUUUUCUAGGAGCCAGUCACCCAAGCAAAUAUCGAAUACUAGGAUUAAAAAAUUUAGGCCCUCUAAGACCAAUCAGAAUCCAUAUGCAUCAAUUUGAUAACAAGGAGUGAGCAUGAAUGACACUGAUGAUGGUGAUGAUCGAUCUAGGCCUACCAAAAAUAUAUACCACAGUGUCACAAGGCUCAAGAAAUACUUUCAUAGUGAAGCUAAUAGCAGCAUAUAAGAGAAAAUUCCAAAUAAAAACUUGAAGUGGAGUUUGUGUCAAAUAAGAGCCUAAAUGGCCAUGUAAGUCUCAAAUUAAAGCUUAAAGUGGCAAUGGCAACUUUAAAUAAGGGUCUAACCUCGAAAAUCACCAACCGGCCAAAUAUUUCUAUCGACUAAGGGCAGUUUUGUCAAAAAACAAUCUUAAUUUAUAUUUUCAUUGUUUUUCUUUUCAAUGAAGGCCCGGCCAUCCUCAUUGGCAAGGAUCGACCUUGCUUGUGGUUAGCGAGGGUAGCCUCGCCUGUGACUUUCAAGGGCGGCCUCGCCCAAGGCAAGGGUUGUCAAGGCGAGGCCAUCCCUCGCCUUUCACUAGUGAGGCGACCCUCACUGGGCCUCACCUAUGGUUAGCAAGGGUGACCUCACCCAAGGCAAGGGCAACUCUUGCCAACCCUCUCCAAGCAUCGUUGGUGGCCAGCUAUCAUUAAGACCAGCCACCAGAGAAGAAGAAAGAACAAAUCGGAAAAAGGAAAAACAGAAAAGAAAAAAGAAGGAAUGAAAAAAUUCAAAAAGAAAAAAAAUGCCAUUGACCAACCAAAAAUCAAGCCCUUCUUUGAAACUAAUAGUCAUUUUAGAUUUUUAUUUGAAAUAAGAUUGACUUCAACCCUUAUUUGAAAAAAUGAGAAUAUUUCAAAUCCUUAUCUUAAACAAGGUUCAUUUCUGGCUGUAAUUUGAAAAAAUGAGGACACCUUAGGCCCAUAUUUGGAAUUUUCCCAGCACAUAAUUCUGCAUAAUAUUGAUCACCCAUAACUAGGCAAUAUCAAAAGUUCACUGCAGAUGCUUGCAAUUUUAUGCAUCUUGAAUCAAGCAAACCUAUCCGGGCUCAAUUUAAAUUGAGAUACGAGAAUCAACGCCUUCCAACAAUGCAUCUCAGUGAUAAAGCAGUAAAAGAUGGGAAAAAAGAGAGAGGGCACAGCAUCAUGUCCACAGCAACAAUCACUAUCAUUUAUAUAGAAGAAAGAGGAGCAUAAAAAAAAUUCCUCGACUAAUCCAUUUAAAAGGAAGCGGCGGAUACACAAUCAUAGGAAGAUUGGAGUUGGACGAGCACUGGCAGCAAAGAGAGGCGCAUAAUACACCAAGCCGGCACACCACAACCAACCAAUUCUCCAGAUUCUCCAUACCCUGCACUGUCCCAAUGCUUUACGAAAUUCUCCUUACAUAUUGGUCAAGAUUUGUAUUGAAAAAGUCACACCUUCAGAAAGGAUAAGAAAAGGUGUAAGGAGAGAAAAUAACAGCUUCUGCAGUUAUGCAAAUAUAACUCACAGAAAGAAAAGCAAUGGUCACCACGAAAUGUCUUUAUCCCAAAUUCCAAAUCAUACAUCCACAGAAGUACUAGUAUCAAAAAGAUGCAAGCCAGGUCCUGAAACUGAUGACCCGUAUCAAAAGCAUUGGGACAGUGCAGGGUUUAUUAUCCAGAAUGACAAAAAAGUAUCACUGAGGAUUUUAACAGACAGAUACUUCCAGCAGACAAUCUGACUAUUUUGAUCCCCUAUAGAACACUAUUUCAAUAAUAGAUCAUCAACAUUGACGUGCGUCAUCUAAUCGACCAUGUUAAACCAACAAAAGUUCAUCAGUCACCUGAUAGGAGUUCCUGGAUCGUAGAGAGGGUUUUUAGCCACAUAUUCAACAUAUAGACUGUAUAUAUACUUCAAAGCUUCUCGUAGAUCACCAGUCCUGGGAUGCAUAACCAAUAUUAUCCGCAAGGGCACGAGGAAUAAGAAGACCAGAAAUAGGAAAAAAAAAAAAAACAGGAGAACAGAUUGAUGGUUAGUAAGAGUCUUCUAAGGAGAAGUACACUAAUGGGCAAAGAUCUGAUCCAAGAACAAAUUGACGUUAAUGUAUUUGCUGAAAUAGAAGCAUAAGCCAAAUCCUUAACAUGUGGCAAUGUGAUUUUCAACAAAUUCAUUUUGCAUUGUCGAGCAUAAAUAAUAAGUAGUCAAUGCACAGAAAAAAGGAGUUAACAGGAGCAAACCAUUUCUCACUUGUAUUAUGCGAUUAUGGAAGCACAAACACCUUCUAAUUGUGUGGUGCCUUUAGAUACAUCGCUAAAGGUGUCGGUUCCUUAAUAAUGCUCAGUUUUAACAGGUCUUGCCAAUUUGCUAAGAUUAUUUAAGUUUUUAGCGCAUUCAUCCGAGAUAGAAAAAUACUCCAAAGACUGCAGAAUAAGGUAAUCUAACCUUUAUACCAGAAGGACUUUCCAUGAAACUAAGUUUGUAUGUAUUAGUGCGGAAACUGUGAAAUGAACAACCCGGGCCUGGUAACAGUAGCACCCCGAGAUUUCCUCUGUCUGCACUGCAAGAGGAAAAAACAGAGAGUGUGCAAGUUAAUCGCUGAACAUCCGGUUCUCCUGUAUCUUCUCCGACAUACUUGGCACUUGGCUAUGGAAAGGUUUUGCAACUUUAAGCUCAUGGCACAAAAAAUUCCUCCUACUCAUGAGCUACUUGAACUCGACUAAACGACUGCUCGAAUAUUAAGUUAAGUUGAGUUUCGAGGUAUGUUUGCAUGCACGAGGAGCAUGGGAGUGCACAUAAACAAAAGAAACACAAAUUUCAUGAAGUCUAAAAUUUCUACAGCAGGUUCAACUUCUGUUAGAUUUUUCUCUUCCUUUGAGCUCGAGCUCGACUUGGAAUUUUUUCAAAGUCCUCUCAAUCAAAGGUUCGCUGACCAUUCGUGAGGAUAAACGGCAAUUCCGCGGAAGAACAAGGAAAUUACCAAAUUAAAAAACCGGAUUACCAUCAAAUGGUGCCUGACUUGAACACACACGAUUCAAAAGGAAUCGAAGACCAAUUACGUAAAAGAAUCGAAGUCAAAGCAGAUGAUCAAGCAAGCGAACAGCAUCUACCUUCCUAAGACAACGCAAAUCGAAGUCCUCCCGGUAGAACAGGCACACCCCGUUCCGCCGUCGGCGCCGGCGGCGACGGGCUGACGUCGGAGCCCCCGAAGAACUGCAUCCUCCCUUCCCAGAUCGCGAUUUCGCCUGAAAGACGCCGCGAACAGCCCCCCGCGGUUUCGCAAGGAGAAAUGGCGUUCCCGUCGAUUUGUACGAGGAGAGUGUAGAAAAUGAAAUUUGCUGCGAUGAAGCUUUUCGCGGUAAAUAGGAUUUUUAUGCAGAGCACAUAGCAUUGGUAAACAACUUGCAAAAAUACUUAUUGCAAGAAAAAAUUAAAAUUAGAAAAGAAAAUAAUCUUAGAGAUUAGUUACUAAUGUUGACCUAGCCAUGAUCAACUAUGUCUCUAUCCAAGUAGUCGCCAUAUUACAUAUUGAACCAAAGUUAAUAAAUUAAAAGUUCAAGUAUCAAAUUAUACAUUGAGCCAAAGUUUAGAGAUUGUUUAUAUCAUUAUCCCAAAAAACCUUCAUUAAGUCCCCGACUUGAUCCAUAUACAAUUGAACGAAGAAGAAAGUGCUUAAGGCAAUAUCUCGAAAGAUAUAAAUUCUUCUGUUAUUGAAUCAAAUCGAGUUAAUUACUAGUAUAUUCAAACCCAAUUAUUAUGUUAUCUAAUUAAAGAUCCAGCUAAUUACUAGUUUAUUUGAACCCAUCCCAGUCGACAAUGCUCGUGCCGCGGUUGGGUAGAACUAACCUAUUGUUCCAUUUUAUCAUAUGGUGCUUCUAAAUAUUGCAAGCGAUUUUAGUUGAAAUUCAUGCCCAGGAAGGGAGUCAUCAAAUGAACGACUUGUAGCUCCAAUCGGAUGAGACCUCAAAAACUUGCAUCAUUUGCAAUGUCCCUGUGAUGAGCAAAGGAGCAAGAAACAUUCGAAACCAAAGGGAGUUGCACUACCAACCGCGCGGCAAUUCAGUAGAUCAGAUGCUGCUUAAAAGUUAAAACUAGAGUUAGAAUAUGCAGCCAAAUCCUGCUCAGAAUAGACUUACAAGAUUCAGCACAAGCAUUACAAGACAGACAAUCUCCCUCUUCCUUUGGAUUCUCUUAUCUAUAAUGCUGUUCUACCAAUGAUGUACAUCCAACUCCCUCUUCAUCCAAAUUUCAAGAAAGUAUAAACAGAGAUGGAGAGAUUAGACCCGAAAAAGAGCCGAGUUAGAGUAGCAGGGACCAAGUCCACCUAAUUCAACCAGUCUCUCCGCUCAUUUCCCUUCGACAAAAUGGAAUAUGCACAACACGACGUGAAUGCCCUGCGUUUGCUUUGUAUAAGUUCACAGAAAGCAAGCCAAGGGGAGGCUCAAGGAGGAAACGAAGCGAGAAAUUGUCGAUCAACACAACCGGCCAUUAGAUCCAUCGAAACUGCCUUGAGCACUCUGCCGUCUUUUCUCUCGCCAAUUCUCUCCCCACAUCUUCGCCUCCGCAACAGCCCUUUCUCUAUUCAAGUCCCUAUUUAACAACUUACCGUCCUUUGGAGAAUUGUCCUUCUCGGACCCCUCGAAUUCCCACCUGCUGCGCCCGGAACCUCCGGCAUCCUCAUUCCUCAAAAUCUUGCUGCCUCUCUCAUCAACGCUGGAUCCUUUGUUCCCAAAAUUAGAAGCUACGUUGGGAUCAUACGCUUGGUUCGCUAGGUAAGAAAGAGCCGUCACCACGUCCCCAAUGAGAGGACGUGCAGCCGCCUGCUCUUGUAUACACAUGGAUGCCACAGCAAGUGCCUGAUAUAGACCUCGCAUUGGAUAACGCCCUUGCAGACUUGGAUCCACCAAUUUCGAGAAUUUUCGCCUCUCAUUGAAUAGUGGACGUGCCUGCACAGGAAAAACAUCAAAAAAAGCAACUUAAAAUUUGUUUGGAAAAGACCUUCCCUUCAGGGUUUUCAAAAAUAGAGGCAAAGCCAAGCUUGUGUAACUGCUUUGUGGUUACCGUUUCUCAGAACUACUCUAUAAAGCCCAGCUCUGAAAGCAUCAAAAAGAGACUUUUAACUUGCAAUCGCUUUGUUUUCCUUUGUGUUCAGCUACGUUGCUAUUCAAUUAAAACUAUGUAGUAACAGAACGCUUCACUCUGAAAACUCUAUCCAUUCCAAAAGCACCUAUAUGUACUUCUAAAAGGAAGAAUAACUUGAAACUUGUUUUCAUUUUCAUCCGUGAAGAAAUUCUUCAAGAACAUUAAAUACUCACUAACUUAUUCUAAGACAUUGCCUUAUAGGUUAACAAAGCAGAAGUAGUCCAAUUAAGAUGGAAUUCAUGGUCAUGCAACCAAGACAUAAGUUAAACUAGAAUUACCCAUGUCACAAGGUUCUGUUCCCCAUGCGGACGGGAGCUGUCGAUGGCUUUUCGUCCCGUGAUCAGCUCUAAGAAGACUACCCCAAAACUAUAAACGUCAGAUUUAACAGUUAAUUGUCCCGUCAUUGCAUACUCCGGAGCACAAUAUCCAUAAGUGCCCAUGACCCUUGUGGAAACGUGUGAUUUGUCUCCAACAGGACCAAGCUUCGCGAGACCAAAAUCAGAGAGCUUGGGAUGGAACUUUUCAUCCAGUAAUAUAUUGGACGACUUGAAAUCUCUAUAAAUAACUGGGGGAUUUGCCUUGUCAUGGAGGUACUCUAAACCUUUGGCUGCACCAGCUGCUAUCGUCAUUCUGGUGUUCCAAUCUAGCGGUUCCUUACCCAGUGGAAGAUCUGUAGCAAUAGCAUAAUGCUAAUAUCAGUUGCUUAUUACAAAGAGCUGAUUUUCACAUAAUUGAGCCAGAAUGUGAACACACGUCAACAUAAUA
rnacentral:lncRNA from 1 species